rnacentral:rRNA from 1 species
UGGCUCAGAUUGAACGCUGGCGGCAUGCCUUACACAUGCAAGUCGAACGGCAGCACGGACUUCGGUCUGGUGGCGAGUGGCGAACGGGUGAGUAAUGUAUCGGAACGUACCUUUCAGUGGGGGAUAACGUAGCGAAAGUUACGCUAAUACCGCAUAUUCUGUGAGCAGGAAAGCAGGGGAUCGCAAGACCUUGCGCUGAUUGAGCGGCCGAUAUCAGAUUAGCUAGUUGGUGGGGUAAAGGCCUACCAAGGCUACGAUCUGUAGCGGGUCUGAGAGGAUGAUCCGCCACACUGGAACUGAGACACGGUCCAGACUCCUACGGGAGGCAGCAGUGGGGAAUUUUGGACAAUGGGGGCAACCCUGAUCCAGCCAUGCCGCGUGAGUGAAGAAGGCCUUCGGGUUGUAAAGCUCUUUCGGCCGGGAAG